AUAAACAAACCCAGCCACCACCAUCACCAUCUCCGUCGCCACCUUCGCUCCAGCACCACCUCCACUAAUCUCAUCACCAAUUCUCGCAUCACCUCCUAUACUUCCGCCAAAACCUCCUGAAUAAUCAGUCUGAAUUGGUUUUCACUUGGUUAAAACCUAAUCUAAAGCAUCAGAAACAUCAAACUUAUCUCGAUUUCAACUGGAUUUGGCAUGAAGAACCUAAAAUCGAUGAUUGCAGUUUGUUAUUACAGACUGUUUCGCAUCGAUAUGGAAGAGGAAAUGAAUAUCGUCAUCAAUUUAUUGGAUCCGAAGAUUAAAUCAUCCAAAACGAUUGUAAAUUUAUCUUCUUUCUCUUGCUUGAAGUUUCUACUGGUGGUGGUGGUACUGUAAGUGGUGGUGAUGUAGAUAGAAAGAUUGAUGGAGAUUUUGGUGGUUCCGGUUGGAAUGGUGAAAUUUGGCUAUUGAGAUAGUGGUGGUUAAAAUUGUUUGUUAUGGUGGUGGUUGUUGGAGAUUGUCUUCCGGAUGCGAAUAUACAAAUGAUGGCGGUGGAGCUUAUUCCCAAGCUGCUGAUUUGAUUAUUUUGGUAAUCGCGAUAUCAUACAUUUUCAAAGGGUUUCACAUUGGAUAACUGGCUUAGAAAUUGGUGGAAAAAUCACACAGGCUCUCAUGAAUCACUUCAUGUAUGCUACUGGAGGGCUUCUCGCGGGGUUCAUUAUCACUGCAAAAGACUAAAAUGAACCUCAUUUGCGUGACUAGUACUUCUGUAAGUUUAUCUCAAUGAGAGCUAUGAUUUUUGUCGAGGUUUAAACGAUAUAUAUAUAUAUAUAUAUAUAUAUUGUGAUGUUUCUUUAUGUUGAAUGAAGUAAACGAUACCCUCAUCAUAUGCAUUUCCCUACUCUUUUGUAGUCA